UACAGAGGGUGCGAGCGUUGUCCGGAAUUACUGGGCGUAAAGGGCGCGUAGGCGGUUCGAUAAGUAGGAGGUGAAAUCUCACGGCUCAACCGGGAGGCUGCCUUCUAGACUGUCGGACUUGAGCACGGUAGAGGCAGAUGGAAUUCCCGGUGUAGCGGUGGAAUGCGUAGAGAUCGGGAAGAACACCAGUGGCGAAGGCGGUCUGCUGGGCCGUUGCUGACGCUGAGGCGCGACAGCGUGGGGAGCAAACAGG
rnacentral:rRNA from 1 species